rnacentral:rRNA from 1 species
AGUAACGCGUGGGUAACCUGCCCUAUACACAUGGAUAACAUACUGAAAAGUUUACUAAUACAUUAUAAUAUAUAUUUACGGCAUCGUAGAUAUAUCAAAGUGUUAGCGGUAUAGGAUGGACCCGCGUCUGAUUAGCUAGUUGGUGAGAUAACUGCCCACCAAGGCGACGAUCAGUAGCCGACCUGAGAGGGUGAUCGGCCACAUUGGAACUGAGACACGGUCCAAACUCCUACGGGAGGCAGCAGCA